GGAGAGACAAACCGCCCGCCCGCCGGCUCCACAAACAGCCCCUCGCUGGUCCUCCAGUCUUCCAGCGAGAAGAAAGAAAGAGCGUCCCCGGAAGCCGCCGAAACUCUGGGGUAGAGCGGCACGCGCUUUUUGCUUUUCCGCGUCCUCUUCGGUGGCGGUCGUCGUCCUAGAAAGGGCGGUGGGCUCCACCUCGGCUCAGAAGGGCAGCGGGAGCCGCAGGAAGCCGUCGCGGGAAGCUCAGCAGCAUUGGUGUUGGAGCCUCCGGAUUGCGCUGACCCUGAGCUCUCAGACUCCCCAGUACAAUGACUCAAGCAGAAAUUAAGCUCUGUUCUUUGUUGCUGCAAGAGCAUUUUGGAGAGAUUGUAGAAAAAAUUGGAGUCCAUCUGAUAAGAACCGGUAGCCAGCCACUAAGAGUAAUUGCCGAUGACACAGGAACAUCACUGGAUCAGGUGAAAAAAGCCCUGUGUGUCCUCGUCCAACAUAACCUGUGACACUGGAGAGCUGAUUGUUGAGGAGCUUCUGUUGAACGGCAAACUGACAAUGUCAGCUGUUGUGAAGAAAGUGGCAGACCGGCUCACAGAGACCAUGGAGGAUGGCAAGACCAUGGACUAUGCUGAAGUAUCAAACACAUUUGUGCGACUGGUAGACACACACUUUGUACAACGCUGCCCUUCGGUACCUACCACUGAGAAUUCAGACCCUGGGCCACCACCACCUGCCCCAACACUUGUCAUUAAUGAAAAGGACAUGUACCUGGUUCCUAAACUCAGCUUGAUAGGGAAAGGUAAAAGGCGGAGAUCAUCUGAUGAAGAUGCUGCUGGGGAGCCCAAGGCCAAGAGACCAAAACAUACUACAGAUAACAAGGAGCCCAUUCCAGAUGAUGGGAUUUAUUGGCAGGCCAACCUUGACAGAUUCCACCAACACUUCCGUGACCAAGCCAUUGUGAGUGCAGUUGCUAACAGGAUGGACCAGACAAGCAGCGAGAUUGUGCGAACCAUGCUCCGAAUGAGUGAGAUUACCACUUCCUCUAGUGCUCCCUUCACCCAGCCAUUGUCUUCCAAUGAGAUCUUCAGAUCCCUACCUGUUGGCUAUAACAUCUCUAAACAAGUUCUUGAUCAGUAUCUCACUCUGCUGGCAGAUGAUCCACUAGAGUUUGUUGGAAAGUCUGGCGACAGUGGUGGAGGAA
rnacentral:sRNA from 1 species